AAUUAACAAUAUGGAUGUUCUCCUUGAGAAGCCGCCUAUGUCUUGUUAAAAUGUGUCGAUAAUUCACAUUCCUUGCAAACAUAACAAAAGAUGUCAAGCCUAUAUAAUAGAAAGUGUCAGAGUUCUCUAUCAGCCCAGUACCUAGUGAACUACAGGUUUACUUUCAAGUCUUCUAGAGUUUAGCAAAGUCUCUCAUCAGUAGGCACAAUGAAUGGAAGACCACCGCAUCCCUAAACGACUCUUGUAUGGCCAACUAAGCGAAGGAAAGCGCUCUCAGGGUUGUCAAAGAUAGCGCUUCAGGGACACCCUCAAAGCUUCUCUGAAGGCGUUUAGCAUAGACCCAGCCACCUGGGAGACAGAGGCACAUGACAGAGCAUCAUGGCGUCGCGCUGUGAAAACUGGCUCACAGGUUGCUGAGGAAAAAAGAAUAACGCUGGCAGAAGAAAAACGCCAGAGAAGAAAAGCAAGUCAAACGACACUAGCUCUAGCUGGAAUAACCUGCCAAGUGUGCGGCCGAACAUUCCGGGCUUACAUAGGUCUCACCAGCCACAAGAGGAGGCAUGAAACCCCAGUGCAAAGCCCUCAGCCCCUUGGAUGACAAACUGGUCAUCCUCGAACCACGAUGGACGAACUAUAUCUAUAUAUCUCUUUGUGGAACAAGAAGUUAGAUCGUAAUAAAUACAAGUGUAUCUAAGAUGUUGUAUUUUGAACGUAUUGAAAAUUGUAUAUUUUAAGUAUGAUUGGCCCUUCUAUUUUUUUUUAAAGUAUACUCCUUUAAAGAUUCAGUCUUUGUUAUUAUUCAAAUAAUCAAUCACAUUCCAUGUUUGUAAAAAAAUAAGACUAGUGGCCCUUCUACAGUCAUUCGAAAGUACACACGACUUGUUUUGUUUGGUUAUUAAUUAAAGAUGUUGGAUUUCCUUUCAGAAUUUGCGAUCUAUAGAGUAGAGAAUGAUCUGAUCAUCUGCUUCGUUAACAAACAAUGUUGCCAGCACCAGUCUGAAAGUGUUUUUUUUUACCCAAAUUACGAUACAAAACUGGGUUUGGAUGGACUUAGAAUAGCUAAGGACAAUUAUGAAAUUGUAAUAUCUUUGUCGAGAUAUCAAACAAAGAUUUCAGUGUCGGGAGCCUAAUGGUUGACUGGUUACUCUUUAUGUAGUAUUAUUCAGCAAAAUAAUGGACAUUAGGUUCUUCAAAAUAUAUAAAGAACGUAUAAAACGUAUAUUUGGUUGUUUAUAAAAACGUACAAGUUUUAAUAACUUUUAAUUGUAGGUUUCAAAAAUAAUUAGAAGAUAAUGGAUGUUUUAGAUUUUUUAUAAUAUACAAUUGUAAAAUAUUUAUCUAAUUAUUAUGCCUAUUUAAUUCUAAAACUAAAACAAAUAUUUUUUUAUUAUAAAAAAUGCAAAAAUUUUCUUUAGAAAAUGUCAAUAGAGUUCUCUAUGUCACUCUGUUACGAAAAUAAUGUACGGAAAGGUCAACCUUCAAAGGUAGAUAACUGUUGGAAAAAAGGUUUAUCUAUUUUUAAUAUGUAUAAUUAUUACUAGACUAACAAUUUUAAAGGUCAACCGUAAGAAAAUAUGACACAUAAAACCUUUUUUUUUGUUUUGCUUAUUCUUUUAGAAUAAUCUAUAACGUCUUAGUUAUUUAUAGUUACAGAUUUAAAAAAAAAUGUUUAUGAUAUAAACGAAAAAGAAGAUUAAGAUUUAUCAUUCAAAAAGAAAAUUUAUUUAAAAGUAAUUUAUAUAAACUAAAACUUUAAAUGUUCAUAUAGGACGUGUGGCUUUGUCCGUUAAAUGGUGGCUUUUGGAGAAAAAGGUACGAGGUUCAAAUCUCUCUGUAAGCACAAACAUAUACAAAUUUUUUUGUCAAAAUAAAAAAAAAAAAAUCUGUACAACGAAAUUGUAAGUAAAUAAUGAUAAUUUUGUCUAAAUAUAUAUAUAUAUAUUCUUUAUUCUUAGAAAAAAAAACAAUAGUAAGUCUAAUGCAUUGGUUUUUAUUGUUCAUAUACAUUUUCAAAAAAUUUUUUCUUAAAGUGAACAGAUAUCUAGAACUUUUUUUUUUCUUGUUUUUUAAGGAAACCUCAGAUUUUUAGCUUUUGACUUCAGUUGUCUAGCUUAGUACAUCCUAGGAAUCCUUGGGCUUUUGCCUCUUUUCUUUGCCUCUUUUUUGGGCGUUGCCUCUUUUUUGGGCUCUUGGCCUCUAUAUUGGGCUUCUUUUUAUUUUUUAUUAUUAUUAUUUUUUUUUUUCAAAGAAAACACACAAAGCAUCAUUCUAAAUUACUAAUAACGCAAGGAAAAUUUCAUUAAAAAAAAACAAAACAUUUUUAUCAAAGUCAUAUUCCAGGAUUUACAGUAUAAUCGCGGAGUAGGCUGCAUCGAAGAUACAUAAAAUGGUUACAGUAGUAAGUCCAACAAAUAAUGACAGCACAGGUUCAAAAAAACGAUGACAGCAAAGGUCCAGAAAAAGGUGACAGCAAAGGUCCAUAAAAUGAUGACAGCAAAUGUCCAGAAAUUGGUGAAAAAAACAUUCACAAAAUAUUUUGAAAGUGUUCCUUUUUAAGAUGAAAUUUAUUUUUAUUAUUAUCUAUUGUAAUAGUGUUUUUUUUUUAAUUUUCUGUUUUUGUUUUAUUUUUUUUUAACAAUUUAGUAGUCCAUUUGGUCCAUUUUCAUGAAAUCCUGUCCUGUUUGGGUUGUCUUGAAAAUUUAUUAAUUUGGUCAAAGGGAUGUAACCAAAAGAAAUUGCCAGCUUGCAUCUUCCAGUCCUAAUUGUCUCUCUUUUUGAAAAAAAAAAUAAUAAUUUAUUGGUAAUUUUUAGUAAUUAUAAUUUUAAAGCAAAUAAAUGAUGUAUUAAAUACAUACACAUGCACAUUUUUAAUAGUUAUUACUUAUACAAACACACACACCAAUACAUUCAAACUUAUUUUCUUCAUUGUUUAAACAGACGUUGAACGUUGUCCAAAGUUUAUAUAUGUAUUCCGUUAAUGUCAGGGUUAUGUAUGGAAUAAUAAAAUGCAAUGUUUAUUUGUUGUAACUUUGGUAUGAGUUAUAUUCAUGUUUUAUGUACUUUGAGGUUAUGAAUGUGAUAAGUCUGCACGUGAUGUAAACUUAUUUUCUUAAUUUUCUUUCUAUGUGUUUGAGAAAGAGUAAGUAUGUUUGUCCUUCGUUAUCUCUGCAGAAUGGAAGACCACCGCAUCCCUAAACGACUCUUGUAUGGCCAACUAAGCGAAGGAAAGCGCUCUCAGGGUUGUCAAAGAUAGCGCUUCAGGGACACCCUCAAAGCUUCUCUGAAGGCGUUUAGCAUAGACCCAGCCACCUGGGAGACAGAGGCACAUGACAGAGCAUCAUGGCGUCGCGCUGUGAAAACUGGCUCACAGGUUGCUGAGGAAAAAAGAAUAACGCUGGCAGAAGAAAAACGCCAGAGAAGAAAAGCAAGUCAAACGACACUAGCUCUAGCUGGAAUAACCUGCCAAGUGUGCGGCCGAACAUUCCGGGCUUACAUAGGUCUCACCAGCCACAAGAGGAGGCAUGAAACCCCAGUGCAAAGCCCUCAGCCCCUUGGAUGACAAACUGGUCAUCCUCGAACCACGAUGGACGAACUAUAUCUAUAUAUCUCUUUGUGGAACAAGAAGUUAGAUCGUAAUAAAUACAAGUGUAUCUAAGAUGUUGUAUUUUGAACGUAUUGAAAAUUGUAUAUUUUAAGUAUGAUUGGCCCUUCUAUUUUUUUUUAAAGUAUACUCCUUUAAAGAUUCAGUCUUUGUUAUUAUUCAAAUAAUCAAUCACAUUCCAUGUUUGUAAAAAGUUAAGACUAGUGGCCCUUCUACAGUCAUUCGAAAGUACACACGACUUGUUUUGUUUGGUUAUUAAUUAAAGAUGUUGGAUUUC